GCUGGGUGUGGUGGGGCAUGCCUAUAGUUCCAGCUACUUAGGAGGCUGAGGUGGGAGGAUCACUUGAGCUGGGGAGUUCUAGGCUAUAAUGUGCUAUGCUAGUGAGGUGCUUGCAUCAAAGUUCAGCAUCCAUAUGGUGACCUCCUGGGAGUGGGGGACCACAUGGUUGCCUAAGGAGGGAAUAAACUGGCCCAGGUUAGAAAUAGAACCAGUCAAAACUCCUGUGUUGAUCAGUAGUGGGAACAGACCUGUCAAUAGCCACUGCACACCAGCCUGGACAAUACAACAAGACCCUCAUCUCU
rfam:Callithrix jacchus chromosome 7, whole genome shotgun sequence